AUUUUAAUCAAAAUAUAUUAUUAAAUAAUAUUGAUUUUAAAUUUAAUUUAAUUAUUUAAUUAUGUUUUUGAAUUUAAAUUUUAUUAUUUGUUAUUUAAUAUUUUAAAAAUAUUAUAUGUUUUAGUUUUAAAUUUGUUGUUUUAUAUUUAGUUUAAUAUUUAUAAAUUAAUAAUAAUUUUAAUUUAAAUUUAAAGUUUUUAUGAACUGUAAUUUACUAGUC
rnacentral:rRNA from 1 species